CUACGGGAUGCUCCAGUAAGGAAUAUUGGUCAAUGGACGCAAGUCUGAACCAGCCAUGCCGCGUGAAGGAUUAAGGUCCUCUGGAUUGUAAACUUCUUUUAUUUGGGACGAAAAAGGGUCUUUCUAGACCAACUGACGGUACCAGAUGAAUAAGCACCGGCUAACUCCGUGCCAGCAGCCGCGGUAAUACGGAGGGUGCAAGCGUUAUCCGGAUUCACUGGGUUUAAAGGGUGCGUAGGCGGGUAGGUAAGUCAGUGGUGAAAUCCUAGAGCUUAACUCUAGAACUGCCAUUGAUACUAUCUAUCUUGAAUAUUGUGGAGGUAAGCGGAAUAUGUCAUGUAGCGGUGAAAUGCUUAGAUAUGACAUAGAACACCUAUUGCGAAGGCAGCUUACUACGCAUAUAUUGACGCUGAGGCACGAAAGCGUGGGGAUCAAACAGGAUUAGAUACCCGGGUAGUC
rnacentral:rRNA from 1 species